rnacentral:lncRNA from 1 species
CCCUUACCGGCACCGCCGGCGCGCGCCGAGGGGGCGUAGCUAAGUCAGGCCCCUCCCCUUCCUCUCCUCGCCCACCAUAGGGGCGGGGCUUCUGUUGGAGCCACCCCUCCAGCCAAUCACGCGAGGCCGCGCCCCUUCUCUCCUUAUUCCCCGCCCCCUCCGCGUUCCUAUUGGCUUCCAGCAACCGGAAGAGGAAACUCACUCCAGCAACCGGAAGAGGAAACUGCGGGAGGGCGCCCCCUCCUCCGUGAGCGGCGGAGCGGAGGGGGGGGCGGGGAUGGCGGAGCGGCCCCUCCUGGAGCCGCGGCGUUCGGUGCGGGGGCGGCGGGGCCGGAUGGCCUUUAAGGGCCCCCUUCCAACGCGAACCCCAUCACCACACACGGGCAGUCGCUGCGGGCGGCGUCUUUAUUCCUGCGGGGAGGGCCGCCCCCCAUCACCGGCGCCGCAGGUAGAAGGACGUGAUGGAGCCCGGGGCGGCCCGCGGCGCCAGGCCCAACUCCCGGUCGGGCUGCGGGGCCGUGCUCAGGAAAUGCCCCGGGAACGCGGCGGCCCUCGAAGGUGUGCGUGGUGCCCCCCGAAGGUCUUAUAGAACGUGUAGGGAACGGCCGCGUCCCCCGAGGAGAACAGAUCCAACAGCUUCACCUCCUGCGGGCGCGGAGCGGCGUGGAGAACUCCGGGUGGGACCGCCCCACAGAAGCCCACCGCCCCAUAGAACCGCACCUUCAUGGACACCGCCCCACAGAACCCACCGCCCCACAGAACCCCA